GUCUUCUAAUAUCAGUUUCUUGCAUAUACUUUGAAAUGUAGGUUCUUAAGGCACCUGUUUAAGUUUUCUUAACAACUUUUCGUGCUUGGGUCUAUGCUUUCCAUGCAUUAUCUCAAUUUAAUCAUUUUAAUUUUCGUAGUCUGUCAGAUGCAGUUUGAAAGAAGCCAACUGACAGAUUGUUGCAUUCUUAUUACAGAAUCACUAUUAGAAUUAUUAUAACUUCUACGUGUGAAAUUCAACCUAGAUGUUAUCCUAAUGGCUCAUUACAGAGUCAUCUGAACUGCUUGGAAUUUGGAACUUACAAUUGAACAUUUUCGGAGUAAAGACUAGUUCAUUGGGAUUGUUCCAUUCAACAUCUAAAGGAGGAAUGUGUAGAACGCUCCAAAAUUUCAGUACAACAAAUUAAGUAGAAGAAGGGCAAAUGUGUUUGAUAUAUAUUGAUACACAAAUGGAGCUUUUUAAAAGAAAUCAAAGAAGUUCAUUGCUGUUCAAUUCAUAUAAUUACUGUUUAAAUGUAAGAUAUUUUAAGUCAUGUAAAAAAUAUGAAUAUUUUCAAUAAAGCAUUUAAUGUGCA